AGGUGCGAUGAUAUCAUCAUUAAUGCACUAGAUUCUAUCGGAACUCAGCAAUUAAACGUGUUUGGACUAGAGUAGUAUUAGGUUGGUGACCUUUUGGGAAGUCUUUGUGUUGCAACUC
rnacentral:rRNA from 2 species